rnacentral:rRNA from 1 species
CCUACGGGAGGCAGCAGUGGGGAAUAUUGCACAAUGGGCGCAAGCCUGAUGCAGCCAUGCCGCGUGUAUGAAGAAGGCCUUCGGGUUGUAAAGUACUUUCAGCGGGGAGGAAGGGAGUAAAGUUAAUACCUUUGCUCAUUGACGUUACCCGCAGAAGAAGCACCGGCUAACUCCGUGCCAGCGGCCGCGGUAAUACGGAGGGUGCAAGCGUUAAUCGGAAUUACUGGGCGUAAAGCGCACGCAGGCGGUUUGUUAAGUCAGAUGUGAAAUCCCCGGGCUCAACCUGGGAACUGCAUCUGAUACUGGCAAGCUUGAGUCUCGUAGAGGGAGGUAGAAUUCCAGGUGUAGCGGUGAAAUGCGUAGAGAUCUGGAGGAAUACCGGUGGCGAAGGCGGCCCCCUGGACGAAGACUGACGCUCAGGUGCGAAAGCGUGGGGAGCAAACAGGAUUAGAUACCCUGGUAGUCCACGCCGUAAACGAUGUCGACUUGGAGGUUGUGCCCUUGAGGCGUGGCUUCCGGAGCUAACGCGUUAAGUCGACCGCCUGGGGAGUACGGCCGCAAGGUUAAAACUCAAAGGAAUUGACGGGG